UCUCCGUAGGUGAACCUGCGGAGUGAUCAUUACUGAGUGAGGGCUCCGGCCCGACCUCCAACCCCAUGUGAACCGAAACCUGUUGCUUCGGGGGCGACCCUGCCUGCACUACGUCGCCGGGCGCCCCCGGAGGUCUUCUAAACACUGCAUCUUUGCGUCGGAGUUUAAAACAAAAUAAACAAAACUUUCAACAACGGAUCUCUUGGUUCUGGCAUCGAUAAGAACGCAGC
rnacentral:misc_RNA from 1 species